AGGCAUGCGGGUUUAUUGUUAGAAUUAAUGGACUAUUAAUAAGAAAUGUAGAUAAUGUAUGCUGCAGAGCUUUGAAAAUCCUGAAACACACCCUAAGGGUUAUGGAAUUUACAUCUUUCAUAGCUUCUAUUAUUUCUUCACUAGUUUGCAGCUAUGCCCACACCUGGAAGGUGACAAAAGGUGGAGUUUACUUUCUCGCCCGUGUCAGCAGUCAUACGGUGGAAUCCAUGAAAAUUGGAUUUCCUUUUUCUGGUGCGUUUUACUCUUGAACUGUGUAACUGUGGAUAACUUUAAUACUGCCCAUUCUUUGUUUACAGUUAUAUAAUUUCUAUUAGCCUUAAAAGUAACCGAUAUAUUUCUUUUUUAAGGUUUCAGUAUAAAACAUAAUCUGCAUCUUCAUUAUGAAACUCAUAUGCAAUUUUCUUCUAUCUCUAGAAGUUUAGAUUGAGGUUUAAAAGAACCAUUUUCAUUAUCAAGCUUCCCCAUAGUUUCCCACUUUCUUAUUCCAAAUAUUUUUAAAAAUCACACCAAAUAUCAGAGCUUUUAGCAAUAUAAAGAAAGAUUUAUUUUCAAAAGUAGCAAAACUUGUUUGAAAAAAAUAUAUAUCUUUAAGUGAAUUACUUUAUAAAUGUGACUGUCAAAGUCAGCUAUCCUAUGAUCUACAUUUUACAACAUAUUGUACAAAAGAUACAUUGAUAGGCUCUUAUCUAUUUAUAUAUUUAUAAUUACAUAUUGCACUUGGACCAGCAAGGCUUGCAGAGUCAUUCACGGUAGAAGUUAAUAAAGUUAAAUAGAUGGCAAUCUUUGUAAGUACAAUUGAUCUCCUCUGGUUUGGAAACGAAUCUCCUCGUCGUUGUAAAGUGUUCUCGCGGGGUGGGACAGAGAGAGGAGCAUUGCGAGGGGGAAGCAGAGACAGAGAGCACUGAGGGCAGGGGUCGCCUUCCCGGGGCCCGCUCCCCCCGGGAGCGCGCCUUUCCCAGACUCGCACCUCCAAGGUCAGGACGCGGUGGUUCCACAUAAGCGGCUCGCGGUCACCACUUCCUUCAGGUCACUCUCGGGUUUCCCGGCCACCAUAAAGGGCCACGUCUGCGGGAAAGAAGAGGGUGGAGGAGGUGGAGAUUUAAAUGACCACAUCCACCCUAAGAUUUAUUGUGAGAAUGAUUGAUGUUAUAAACCAGGAAAAGGACUCUUCCCACAGCAGGGAUGACAGAAAUAUCAAGCUGAAGUUGCCUUUGUCUUCACAUACGAAUGACCCAGUACUACAACACAGAAAGUAUAAUAAUUUAAUCUGAGGUUCAAGACAGCAGUGAGAGAACACCCAGCAGGCCUGUUAAAAAUUUCUUCACUAAUUCCUCAACCAGUUUCCUUUGAUUUGCUCUCCCUUUUCUCAGUCUUGGUAAAACAUGAAAGUUAAAGUUAUUUUUAGACUACAGAGCUAUGUGAAAAUGGGCAUUGGCCAAUACUUUGUGAAAUGUGUGUGUGUGUGUGUAGCUACUAAGAUAUCUGCAAAAUAACUACAAAUAAUUAAUUUGGACUCUGGAAUGUGAUAAUUAUUAUAAAUCCAAACUAUGGCCUUACUGCAUACAUUAAGCUGUGAUUUUUCUUGUUGGAGCCAUUUUUUUUUCUUUUUGGCUCUGGGUCUCUGUUACACCUUAGUUAAUGGACUGCUCAGGCUGUCUGGGGAGAUAGUAAAAAUCAUAGUAAUAUGUACCACUGAAAAGAUUUCUGUUGUCUGUAUAUUUUUCAAUGUUGGAAACUUAAAAGUACCAAUUUCUGGAAGCAUGUAAAAUUAGCCUCAUGUCAUAGGAUGGUUUUUAUGCUUAGCAAUUAUUUUUCUUCAUAGCCAUAUAAGAAAUAAUUAAGUCCCAUGUCCAUUUAUCUUGCAGUAAGACAUUUGGGCUGAGAAAGGCUAGUGGGCUGAUAAUAAAUUUUGGAGUGUUUCUAAAAUUCUGUAAAAGAUGGCUUCCAGUUUGGGAGUAAGAGUCAAAGAAUACUGUUGCUUAUGUAUCUUGAUAUGAAGUCUUGGAGAGAGAAUAUUCAUAUGAAAAAUACUUUUUUUCUUUUAAAAUUUUGUGUCUAUCCCUGCUAAUAAACACUUAGGGACAAAUGGGUGGGAGAAAUGACUUCUUGUUGGAUUCUACUGAGCAAGUCAGUUAAGCUGUAACUUAAGCUGUGCCAAAUUCUCCCAAAAUAUAAACUAUAUUCUGUGAGAAGACAAGCACUUUUGAGAAGCUGUAUUAACCCUUUUGGUAAGUUGACCACUUCUGUUCCAAAGCACGAAAUAGAAAACUCGUGAUUUGAAAGUAUGAGAUCAUUUCUAAAAGUUCUUACCUGACUUUUAAGAAGCAGUUAUGCCCCAGAGGCAUCUGGCCAAUUUGCUGCUCACUUCUAACAAUUUGUUUUGCAAGAGAGACUAUCUUUGAAAGAUUUUAGUGCUAAGGAAAUUUUAUCUCUGAAAGCUGUAAAAUGAAGAUUAGGCAUGGAAUGUACCCUUGAACUUAAAUCCUGGUUUAUCAGCUGAUACAUUUACAGGAAGUUCAAAUUUGAUUCAGUUGCACUUGGAUGGAAUAAUUUGCUUCCUUUUUUAUGAGAAGGAAAACAUCAUAGGCUUCCUUUGAACUGACUUCAUAUGCCAUUACAUAAUCUUUCUCAGGGGAAAAAUAUGCCUUUAAAUUUAAAUGUUAAUCCUUUUCUCUUACUCCUCAUCAUUUGGUCAGGAGACACAGGCUGGCAAAUUGGCAAAACUGCCCAUUCUCUUUUUUCUUCAUUUCUAAUUAGCACCGCCAGAUGUUUUAUUCAUUUUAUUUGAUGGUAACUACCACCACUUCAAAUAUUUGCCAACUUUCUAUGCAAGUUGACGCCUUUUUUUUUUUCUUUUUUUGAUGGAGUCUUGCUCUGUCACCCAAGCUGGAGUGCAUCAGCACGAUCUAGGCUCACUGCAACCUCUGCCUCCCAGGUUCAAGAGAUUCUCAUGCCUCAGCCUCCCGAGUAGCUAGAAUUACAGGUGCCUGCCACCAUGCCUAUCAAAUUUUUGUAUUUUUAGUAGAGGUGGGGUUUCACCAUUUUGGCCAGGCUGGUUUCAAACUCCUGAUCUACCCACCUCGGCCUCCCAAAGUGCUGGGAUUACAGGCAUGAGCCACCGUGCCCAGCCAGGUGCCUCUUUUUUGAUUUUACAUAAUUAUCUCCAUAUACUUUGUUUGCUGCUGAUUGAUUGUUGUCUAUCUCCCACUUAUAUGCCUAUCAAACUCUGACUUUGUUUCAUUAAAUUUUAACUUUAUUUAAUAAAGUGGGCAUUACCUCUCUUUGCUCAUUCUAAAUUAUAGUGGUGCUGUCCUGUUAUAUUUUGGCAGCCAAAGUGAAUAUGGCACUAGUGAGCUUGGUGGCUAGCUAAGAAGGUCAAUAACAGUGAUGCUGGGUGUUGCUGCUACCUUUACCUGGCACCAGCUGGGAGACGGUAUAAAUCCUGGAUGGUAUAAAUCCAUUCAGUAAUUAGAAGUCUUCUGCAUGUUCACUAUACCCUAACCCCCUCUUUUCACAUUGAAUUCAGUGAAUUGUAGAUAAGAUGCCACAUUGCUAAGAUUUAAAGGUGGCAAAUAACAACAAUAAAGUCUAGGGAAAGAUUCUGCAUGGUUCUUUGAAUCCAGGAGUUAAUCUUGCAUUUCACAUGUUCCACAAUACAGCUUUGAAAGCAGCCAAGCCUAUGCACUUGAAAGUCAGAGUUUACCCUAAGGUGUAAGUGGGCCAGAGAAAACUCGGGCAGACAAAGAGAGUUAAAAAUUUUGCAAAGCCAGUUUAAUGUCCUCCUAAGUUUUCUAAUACUAGAAUAAUUUUAUUAGACCCUCUCAGUGUUAGGAAAGAGAGAGAAAAGGACUGAGCGACUCCUGAGUCAGGUACCAUGCAGGGACUUUUGCCUCCAUUCUCUCAUUUCAUGUAUUUUCUCUCCUUUCUGUUGGCACUACUAAAGAAAGAGCUGCCACAUGAAAUGAACAGUGUAUUAGAAAUGUAUGCCAGAGGCUUUCCCCUGUAAUAAAGUUUUAGAAAAACUG
rnacentral:antisense_RNA from 1 species